CCCUUAGAUGUCCUGGGCCGCACGCGCGUUACACUGAUGCAUUCAACGAGCUUAUAACCUUGGCCGAGAGGCCUGGGUAAUCUUGUUAACAUGCAUCGUGAUAGGGAUAGAUUAUUGCAAUUAUUAAUCUUGAACGAGGAAUUCCUAGUAAUCGCAGUUCAUCAAACUGCAAUGAUUACGUCCCUGCCCUUUGUACACACCGCCCGUCGCACCUACCGAUUGAAUGGUCCGGUGAGGACUCGGGAUUGUGGUUUAGCUCCUUCAUUGGGGCCUGACUGCGAGAACUUGUCCGAACCUUAUCAUUUAGAGGAAGGUGAAGUCGUAACA
rnacentral:rRNA from 1 species